CAGCAAUUUGCACACCUGGCAGCUCACAAUGUGACAACGUUCUCCCAUGACUCCGCCCAUUUUCUUAUUCUGGUCAAGGAUGCAAAACAGCAACCGAGUGUGUGUGCGUGUGUACAUGAGGAAGCUGUGUACUGUAGAUGCACCUCUGUCAGCAGGCCGGAUUAAAUCCACAACAAGAACAAACUUCCCAUCAAAGAAGCUCCAGGAAGGUUCCCGCCGCGGCUUACUCAGGUUACGCAGCCCCGAGGCUUGAAAAUGUCGAUUUGAGAGGCCCGCGUUUCCUCGUCUGAGACACCUUGCCGGCAGCGGGCCAGCCGCUUCCCUGACAGAAGCUGCUCUCAACUGUCCGGAGUCUAUUCAUCACGCCAACAGAACUACCCAUUGUUGAACGUCAUGGACAGGAAAGUCACCUGCAAGAACUGGAUGUUGGGAUUCCCAGCAGGUCCGUGUGAAGUGGGCGGUUGUGGCGCAAGCCGCUCCAGAACAAACAGCUCAUGUUUUGUUAAAGCCUAGUGGAAAAAAAACAAAACUGGCCUAACCUGUCCCAGAGUCCCUCUGCUAAGUCACCGUGCGUGUGUGUGUGGGCUACUUACCUCACCGCGUGCUGCGGAAAAACAUCCGAACAUUGAUCAAAACAGUAGAAGGCAGAUAAAGAUAAGGCCCUCUGUUGAAUGACAUGUCUGUUUUUGGGCUGCGUGGUUCCCCUUGAAGAAAGCGGGGUGGGUCCAGUCGUGCUCGGGAGGGACGACGAGCAGGUCCCGACUUGUUACGUUGCCACCGGGUCAAAUGUCUGCCUCUGACUGGAAUGCUCGCGGAGGGCAGAUAAGAAAAGCCGCGGCAGUCGUGUGUGGAGAUGCUUUUGCCUUCUGAUAAGGUUAAAAGGGAGUUCCGCCCCGGCUUGGUUUUUGAACAGCGUAGGUGGGCAAAAACAUGCGACAAAAAUGAAAGGUGGAGAGUUCUAGGCACUCCCCAACAGAAUUCGGCAGCAGCACAAGCGGUACUUUCUGAUUUGACAUUCUGUGUUGUUUGUCAUUGAGCUGCCAUGCAGCUGGCCACACGACACAAACUCUGGGUGGAAAAUUACCGGCCCUGUGGCUUUUCUACUUCUUUAUGAAGUGAAAAAAAAACAUUCUGUUAAAUUUGGUGGGCACACCUGGCGAACAUGCGAAGGAUAGCAAUGGGGUUUGAGGUUUCUGAUUCCGGGUUAGGGUUUAGGAUUUGGAAUUCUGAAUGAGCAGAUGAAUUUACUAAAUGGCAAAAUGUUGUGUUCCCAUGUUUUAAAAAUAAUAAGGGACGUUCGAGAGCCUUCUGCCCUAUAUUCAGCAUUCGACGCGAGAUCGCGUUCCACAUGAGCUCGGCAAGACCAAUUCUGCCCUUUUCAACUUGAAGCCGAUCGUGUCAAGCGUCUUCUUAUAGAAACUGUUAGUGUGGAUGCUAAAAGGCUUACUCCACUUCAGCUCACUUUGAUAUUUGCUCUCAAUGUUCCAGCCGAGCAGGCGCGUUGAGUCAAGUGGAAGUUUCGCCAUCCAGACGUCAUUUUCUUUUUCGACAACUUCUGCAUUGAUAUGUUUGAUGAAGGACAAGCGUUUGACUUUCAUCCCUCCGCCCGACGACACUUUAAUAUGUUACACAUUAACUCUGCGGACGGUGUCGGCGGUGACACAGCGACCGACGCGUGUGUGGCCCGGGCGUGUAAUUGUGUCGUCGCCUGGCUCCGAGGUUUGUUUUCCAAGCCCGGAGAUGAUUGCCAUUGAUAAGGCGGCGGCUCUAAAUAUAAAGUUGUGAAAUCAUUAAAAGGACGUAAAUAUACCCCUCCAAUCCCUUUACACUAAUCCUAAGCAUGGCCAAUGAAACUAUUCAUUAGAAAAUCAUCAGCUUUGCUUCAUUCCAGGAUUUUCAGCGUGUGUGUCUGUGUGUCUAAGCAGAGUGUGUCGUGUGGAGCUUAGCCGCAAUUAUGUGUGUUCAUGUGGUGCCUGCGUGUUUAUUGCUUAUUUAUGCAAAUCGCUGUGCCAUUUUUACACGGCUAAAAGUGACAACAUUAGCUUUAAUCCGGGAUAUGAGACGUUAUUCUCGAAAACCUUGCUAGAUUGGUCACCUCAAAAUAAAAAAAAAGGACUACUUUCUCCUCAAAAACUCCUAGGCAACAAUCCAACUGGGCCAGGUGGACAAGGCCCCUCACAUCGGAUCCUGCAAAUUCAAGAAUUGUCAUCGCUGAGCAUGAAUUAACGAAACUCCACAAUUCACCAAAUUGAACUUAACAAAAAAUCGCCAUCAUGGAAGAGAGGGCUUCCAUUCCAGGCCGAGCAGUGGAUGUUGGUGAACCUUCCCCUAGGAUGCUGAUGGAGGGUCUGCCCGUCCACACACAAAGACACACACACGGCCGCACAGAGCUGGGGUGGUUGGUUUGUUUAGCCGCAGAGCCGGUGUGUCCUCGUUGGGUGUGCGUGCGUGAGG